AUGGCCCCGAGCUACGAGAUGGCCGCCUCCAUCCUGCUCUGCGCCGAGGACAGCAGCAGCAUCUUCGGCUUCAGCGACGGCGAGGAGGUGGAGGCGGCGGCGGGAGCGAUGGCGGGCGGGUCACCGUACUGCGGCGGCGGCGGCGAGCUGGCCGUGGAGUUCCCGCUGCCGUCCGAGGAGUGCGUGGCCCGCUGGGUGGCGACGGAGGUGGAGCACAUGCCCAGGAAGGACUACGCCGAGCGGCUCCGCGCCGGGGGCGUGGAUCUCCGCGUGCGGACGGACUCCAUCGACUGGAUAUGGAAGGUUCACACGUACUACGGCUUCGGCCCUGUCACUGCGUGCUUGGCCCUCAACUACAUGGACCGCUUCCUCUCGCUCUACCAGAUACCGGAGGGCAAGGCUUGGAUGACGCAGCUGCUAUCGGUGGCGUGCUUGUCUCUUGCUGCCAAGAUGGACGAAACUUCCGUGCCUCAGUCCAUCGACCUGCAGGCCGGGGACGCGCGGUACGUGUUCGAGGCGAAGACGAUCCAGAGGAUGGAGCUGCUGGUCCUGAGCACGCUCAAAUGGCGGAUGCAGGCCGUCACCCCCUUCUCCUACCUCGACUACUUCCUCCACCAGCUGAGCGGCGGCAAUGCGCCGUCGAGGCAGGCCGUCCGGGACGCCACGGAGCUCAUCCUCUGCAUAUCCAGAGGGACGAGCUGCCUGGAGUUCCGGCCCUCGGAGAUCGCCGCGACGGUGGCCGCCGCCGUGGCCGGGGAAGAACACGCCGCCCACAAGCCGGCCUGCUGCACCCACGUAGAUAAGGAGCGGGUGCUGAGUUGCCAUGAAGCGAUGAUCCAGGCCACCGGCGCCACCGUGCCGCCACGUAAAACCGCAGGCCUGAUGGGCAGAGCCUACUCCCCCGGCAUGUCUGCGCCGGGGAGCCCCACCGGGGUGCUGGACCUGGACGCCGGCUACCUCAGCUGCACAAGCGACGGCGCCAGCACGACCACCACCAUGCCAUCGUCGUCGCCCGCGAGUGCGAGCUCUGCCUUCGACAGCUCCCCCGUCAGCAGCAAGAGGAGGAAGAUCAGCAGAUCAUGA
rnacentral:rRNA from 1 species